rnacentral:rRNA from 1 species
GGACUACUGGGGUUUCUAAUCCUGUUUGCUACCCACGCUUUCGUGUCUCAGCGUCAGUUAUGGUCCAGUAAGCCGUCUACACCACCGGUGUUCCUCCUGAUAUCUACGCAUUUCACCGCUACACCAGGAAUUCCACUUACCCAUCCCACACUCUAGUCCCCCAGUUUUCGGCGCACCCUCCCGGUUGAGCCGGGAGAUUUCACACCAAACUUAGGGGACCGCCUACACACCCUUUACGCCCAGUAACUCCGAACAACGCUUGCUGCCUACGUAUUACCGCGGCUGCUGGCAC